GUAUAGAUGGAAAAAAAAAACGGUGGUUAGGUUUGCAUUCACAAAUUUAGUGUAGCUGAAACUGAAAAUGUAGCAAUUGGGAUUUUACUUAUCCUAGUGUGACAGUGUAUGGAGAUUGAUGGUAACCCUUUGUUAUUGCAGAAAAUGGGGUCCGGUGGCAAAUAUUAAAGGAGGCUGGUUUUGUUGCUCCCAACUCAGAAUGGCAGACCCAUUUACGCCACGCAAUAUACGAGAGAGUUCCUCUCCUACUACUCAGUGCAAUCUGCAUUCUUGUAAAGUUGGUUUCCAGUUGCAGGGACAUGUGGGGGUUAAACAAUUAGACGUAAGUUGGAAUCGCGGGUAUCCAUCACGAAACUGAUUGCUUUGUCAACUAUCUUAAGAGGCCAUACAUCUGAUCCCACCCUUAUUUGAUGUGAUCCAUCAUCAUCUGUUGAACCAAGGAAACACGACUUUUCGAGAAAGAAACAAGCAUCAAGUUGAGAAAGUAGCUCCUACAUCUUUUUGUAAAGUCAGGUUGUAUCCCCCCAUUUUUAGAAUCGAAUUUUAGGUUUGUGUCUAACUCAGAAAUAGUGGAAGGCUCCACCAUUUCUAUCAUUCUGAUGUCUACUAUCCAACUGUGUGUGUAACUAAACACCAUAAAUAACCAAAUUGAAUUUUAAGGGUAGACUUAGAAAUAAAAUAUAUUUAUUUAUUUUUAUACCAUCAGAAAUUAAACACUAGCUAAAAUUAAAUUAAAAUAAAAUUCGGUUCGGUUCGGCUCUUUUCUGUUCUGUUUUAAUAAUAUUUGUGGUUUUUUUUUUUUUUUAAAGUUAUGAACCGAGAACCGAAUGAAUACAUUACAUUGAUAUUAUUAAUCUAAUCAAAAACCGAAGCGAAGGCUAAAUUCGAAUCGGAUUUCUGCUAAUUUUAGGCAUUUUUCUCAGCCCUUGUAGAUAUCACACAUCAGCAAACACAUGGUAUUCUUUGGAAUCAACAGCUAUGAGCCUCAAAGAUGCAAUCG